rnacentral:rRNA from 1 species
AACGAACGCUGGCGGCAGGCUUAAUACAUGCAAGUCGAGCGGGCACUUCGGUGUCAGCGGCGCACGGGUGCGUAACGCGUGGGAACAUGCCCUUAGGUACGGAACAACACAGGGAAACUUGUGCUAAUACCGUAUAAUAUCUCCGGAUCAAAGAUUUAUCGCCUAAGGAUUGGCCCGCGUUAGAUUAGGUAGUUGGUGGGGUAAUGGCCUACCAAGCCGACGAUCUAUAGCUGGUCUGAGAGGAUGAUCAGCCACACUGGAAUUGAGACACGGUCCAGACUCCUACGGGAGGCAGCAGUAAGGAAUAUUGGACAAUGGGCGAAAGCCUGAUCCAGCCAUGCCGCGUGAGUGAUGAAGGCCUUAGGGUUGUAAAGCUCUUUUAAAUGGGAAGAUAAUGACUGUACCAUCAGAAUAAGCCCCGGCUAAAUUCGUGCCAGCAGCCGCGGUAA